ensembl:lncRNA
AUUAGCACGUCUUUAGCACAACAGAAGGUUCGGUUGGCAGGAGUCUGAAGACUGGACGAGAUGGUGUCGCUUGAGCUCUAUGGAGAUUUAAUAAGAGACAUUACUGCUCAGAACCUCUCGCACGCGGACAUUUCCACGAAGUUAUCACAAUUAGGUGUGCAGCGAUGUUCUGAAAUGAGUGUCAGGAGAUUUUGUGCACAUCACAACAUUUCCAGGAGGGGACAUGUAUCCGACACACAAUUAGAAGUUGCUAUCAGCAGGGCAAUAAAUCAGACAGGGUCAACAUAUGAUGACCAGGUAUCUGUCUGCGAUGGGAGUGGUUGCUGGUGAACGCCGGAUAGGGAGGAUUUUGAGAACAACGCAUUGUCCUUAUCACGAAAUGCGCAAUCGUGUCGCUGGUCGAAGCAGUUCGUAGAGUCGGGAUGCUUGGAGGAAAAUGAGGUCGCUGGUCGAAGCAGAUCGUAGAGUCGGGAUGCUUGGAGGAAAAUGAGGUUCACCGGCUUUCACAUGGAGAUGCUGCUGUACAGUCUUUAUUAAUACCUGAAGUCCUGUCCUGCUCUGGAGACGUCAUGUUGUUUCAGAUUUGCUGUUGCGGUUCGGACCAACUGGAGCUCCACGAUUACUGGUCACAGCAAUAAUGACAAUAGUGAUUCUUUUGAAUGUUUCAAACAGAGUAGUAUAUAAUAAUAAUUAAUGAUAAUAAUGAAUCGUGUGUG